UGGGAUGGAGACAGGGAAUGCUCUGGCAUGAAACUACAUGGAAUUCAUAAACAAGCAUCAGUUGGCUUCCUCACGCUGAUGGAGUCACUGCGCUACUGCAAGGUUGGAACAUUCCUCAAGUCUCCAAAGUUCCCUAUUUGGAUUCUUGGCAGUGAAACUCAUC